rnacentral:rRNA from 1 species
GAUGAACGCUGGCGGCACGCCUAACACAUGCAAGUCGAACGAAGUGUGAGGAAGCUUGCUUCCAAUCACUUAGUGGCGGACGGGUGAGUAACACGUGAGCAACCUGCCUCUUGGUUUGGGAUACCGUUUGGAAACGAACGUUAAUACCGAAUAAUAUAGCGGAUUCGCAUGUUUCUGCUAUCAAAGCUUUAUGUGCUGAAAGAUGGCCUCGCGUCUGAUUAGCUAGUUGGUGGGGUAACGGCCCACCAAGGCGACGAUCAGUAGCCGGUCUGAGAGGAUGAACGGCCACAUUGGGACUGAGAUACGGCCCAGACUCCUACGGGAGGCAGCAGUGGGGAAUAUUGGGCAAUGGGGGAAACCCUGACCCAGCAACGCCGCGUGAAGGAAGAAGGCCUUCGGGUUGUAAACUUCUUUUACCAGGGACGAAGAACGUGACGGUACCUGGAGAAAAAGCAACGGCUAACUACGUG